rnacentral:tRNA from 1 species
GGGGCUAUAGCUCAAUUGGUAGAGCGCCGCUUUUGCAAGGCGGAGGUCAGGGGUUCGAUUCCCCUUAGCUCCA